rnacentral:rRNA from 1 species
UGCAGUCGACGGAACGAUGGGAGCUUGCUCUCAGGCGUCGAGUGGCGGACGGGUGAGUAAUACAUAGGAAUCUGCCCAGUAGCGGGGGACAACUUGGGGAAACUCAAGCUAAUACCGCAUACGCCCUACGGGGGAAAGCAGGGGAUCUUCGGACCUUGCACUAUUGGAUGAGCCUAUGUCAGAUUAGCUUGUUGGUGGGGUAACGGCCUACCAAGGCGACGAUCUGUAGCUGGUCUGAGAGGACGAUCAGCCACACUGGGACUGAGACACGGCCCAGACUCCUACGGGAGGCAGCAGUGGGGAAUAUUGCACAAUGGGCGAAAGCCUGAUGCAGCAAUGCCGCGUGUGUGAAGAAGGCCUGCGGGUUGUAAAGCACUUUCAGUAGGGAGGAAACAGUUGCGGGUUAAUAUCCCGCGACCUUGACGUUACCUACAGAAGAAGCACCGGCUAACUCUGUG